UAGCAUGAAGUCAGGCAA
rnacentral:rRNA from 1 species